AUUGAACGCUGGCGGCAGGCAUAUCACAUGCAAGUCGAGCGAGCGGAGGAUGGACGAGUAAUGUAUUGGAAACUGUUUGAUGGAGGGGGCUAACUAUUGGAAACGGUAGCUAAUACCGCAUACUAUCCGUUGUGCCCAGAUGGGAUUAGCUAGUAGGUGGGUUAAUGGCUCACCUAGGCGACGAUCCCCAGCUGGUCUGAGAGGUUGAACAGCCACACUGGGACUGAGAAACGGUCCAGACUCCUAGGGGGUGCAGCAGUGGGGAAUAUUGCACAAUGGGCGCAAGCCUGAUGCAGCCAUGCCGCGUGUAUGAAGAAGGCCUUCGGGUUGUAAAGCACUUUCAGCGGGGAGGCGUUACUCGCAGAAGAAGCACCGGCUAACUCCGUGCCAGCAGCCGCGGUAAUAC
rnacentral:rRNA from 1 species